UCCACAGUAUACUAGGUCAGUUUGGUCUCACUUUUAUAUAUUUACAAAUAUAUAAAAGUGAGACCAAACUGACCUAGUAUACUGUGUAUAC
rnacentral:pre_miRNA from 1 species